AACGAACGUUAGCGGCGCGCCUAAUACAUGCAAGUCGUGCGAGAAAGGGCUUCGGCCCCGGUAAAGCGGCGCACGGGUGAGUAACACGUAGGUAAUCUCCCCUCGAGUGGUGGAUAACCC
rnacentral:rRNA from 1 species